CUCCCUUUGCACACCCGCCCCUUGCACAAGCACCGUGCAACACACUCAUCCCCCCGCAGGCACUUCUACAAGCCGAUGCUGAAGCGCGGGGUGAGCAAAUGGACGGCACAGACGGCUGUAUUCCUGGCCUCCGCCUUCUUCCACGAGUAUUUGGUCAGUGUCCCACUCAAGAUGUUCCGGCUCUGGGCCUUCAUGGGGAUGGCAGCGCAGAUCCCCCUGGCCUGGCUGGUGUCGCGGUUCCUUCAUGGGAAUGGCCCCAUAUUGACCCCAUAGUGCCCCCAUAGUUACCCCAUACUGACGCCAUAGCACCCCAUAUUGCCCCAUAACUCCCUUUUAUCCCCCCAGAUCCCCAUAUUG